AGUGAACGCUGGCGGUAGGCCUAACACAUGCAAGUCGAACGGCAGCACAGUAAGAGCUUGCUCUUACGGGUGGCGAGUGGCGGACGGGUGAGGAAUACAUCGGAAUCUACUUUUUCGUGGGGGAUAACGUAGGGAAACUUACGCUAAUACCGCAUACGACCUACGGUUGAAAGCAGGGGAUCUUCGGACCUUGCGCGAUUGAAUGAGCCGAUGUCGGAUUAGCUAGUUGGCGGGGUAAAGGCCCACCAAGGCGACGAUCCGUAGCUGGUCUGAGAGGAUGAUCAGCCACACUGGAACUGAGACACGGUCCAGACUCCUACGGGAGGCAGCAGUGGGGAAUAUUGGACAAUGGGCGCAAGCCUGAUCCAGCCAUACCGCGUGGGUGAAGAAGGCCUUCGGGUUGUAAAGCCCUUUUGUUGGGAAAGAAAAGCAGCAGGUUAAUACCCCGCUGUUCUGGCGGUACCCAAAGAAUAAGCACCGGCUAACUUCGUG
rnacentral:rRNA from 1 species